rnacentral:misc_RNA from 1 species
GAUGAAGAACGCAGCGAAAUGCGAUACUUGGUGUGAAUUGCAGAAUCCCGUGAACCAUCGAGUCUUUGAACGCAAGUUGCGCCCGAAGCCAUUAGGCCGAGGGCACGCCUGCCUGGGCGUCACACGUCGUUGCCCCCCCAUCUACUCCUUCGGGAUUGCGGGGGGCGGAUGAUGGCCUCCCGUGCGCCUCGCCGCGCGGUUGGCAUAAAUGCCAAGUCCUCGGCGACGCACGCCACGACAAUCGGUGGUUGCGAAACCUCGGUUGCCCGUCGUGUGCGGUCGUCGCGCAUCGAGGGCUCGAAAAAAUUGCCGGGCUCCGGCUCGACUUUCAACGCGACCCCAGGUCAGGCGGGGUUACCCGCUGAAUUUAAGCAUAUCAAUAAGCGGAGGA